rnacentral:rRNA from 1 species
UGGGGAAUCUUCCGCAAUGGGCGAAAGCCUGACGGAGCAACGCCGCGUGAGUGAAGACGGCCUUCGGGUUGUAAAACUCUGUGAUUCGGGACGAAAGAUAAGCAGACGAAUAAUCUGCAUAAGUGACGGUACCGAAAAAGCAAGCCACGGCUAACUACGUGCCAGCAGCCGCGGUAAUACGUAGGUGGCAAGCGUUGUCCGGAAUUAUUGGGCGUAAAGCGCGCGCAGGCGGCUACUUAAGUCCAUCUUAAAAGUGCGGGGCUUAACCCCGUGAUGGGAUGGAAACUGAGAAGCUGGAGUGUCGGAGAGGAAAGUGGAAUUCCUAGUGUAGCGGUGAAAUGCGUAGAGAUUAGGAGGAACACCGGUGGCGAAAGCGGCUUUUUGGCCUGCAACUGACACUGAGGCGCGAAAGCGUGGGGAGCAAACAGG